CGGGCGCGUAGCUCAGCGGUAGAGCACACCCUUCACACGGGUGGGGUCACAGGUUCAAUCCCUGUCGCGCCC
rnacentral:tRNA from 1 species